GACGAACGCUGGCGGCGUGCCUAAUACAUGCAAGUAGAACGCUGAAGCUUGGUGCUUGCCCCGAGCGGAUGAGUUGCGAACGGGUGAGUAACGCGUAGGUAACCUGCCUGGUAGCGGGGGAUAACUAUUGGAAACGAUAGCUAAUACCGCAUAAUAGUAGAUGUUGCAUGACAUUUGCUUAAAAGGUGCAAUUGCAUCACUACCAGAUGGACCUGCGUUGUAUUAGCUAGUUGGUGAGGUAACGGCUCACCAAGGCAACGAUACAUAGCCGACCUGAGAGGGUGGUCCGCCACACCUGGAAUGGGACAAGGGCCAGACUCCCUAGGGAAGGCGCCGGUGGGAAUCUUCGGCAAUGGACGGAAGGCUGACCGGAGAAAGCCGGGGGGGGGGAGGAGGGUUUUGGGUCGUUAAAGUCCUUUGUUAGGGGAGAAAGGGUGGUAAAGUGGAAAGUUCACACUGUGACGGUAACUUACCAGAAAGGGACGGCUAACUACGUG
rnacentral:rRNA from 1 species